rnacentral:rRNA from 1 species
CCCUUAGAUGUCCUGGGCCGCACGCGCGUUACACUGAUGCAUUCAACGAGCUUAUAACCUUGGCCGAGAGGCCUGGGCAAUCUUGUUAACGUGCAUCGUGAUAGGGAUAGAUUAUUGAAAUUAUUAAUCUUGAACGAGGAAUUCCUAGUAAACGCAGAUCAUCAAUCUGCAUUGAUUACGUCCCUGCCCUUUGUACACACCGCCCGUCGCACCUACCGAUUGGAUGGUUUAGUGAGACCCUCGGACUGGUCCCGCUGUCGGACAGGCAACUGUUUGCAGCGCGUGCGCCGGGAAGAAGGUCGAACUUGACUAUCUAGAGGAAGUAAAAGUCGUAACA